CCUACGGGUGGCUGCAGUCGAGAAUCAUUCACAAUGGGGGAAACCCUGAUGGUGCGACGCCGCGUGGGGGAAUGAAGGUCUUCGGAUUGUAAACCCCUGUCAUGUGGGAGCAAAUUAAAAAGAUAGUACCACAAGAGGAAGAGACGGCUAACUCUGUGCAAGCAGCCGCGGUAAUACAGAGGUCUCAAGCGUUGUUCGGAAUCACUGGGCGUAAAGCGUGCGUAGGCUGUUUCGUAAGUCGUGUGUGAAAGGCGCGGGCUCAACCCGCGGGCGGUCCAGGAUACUGGGAGACUAGAGUAAUGGAGGGGUAACCGGAAUUCUCGGUGUAGCAGGGAAAUGCGGAGAUAUCGGGAGGAACACUCGUGGCGAAGGCGGGUUCCUGGACAUUAACUGACGCUGGGGCACGAAGGCCAGGGGAGCGAAAGGGAUUAGAUACCCUUGUAGUC
rnacentral:rRNA from 1 species